UAGUCCUUUUUUUAUUUCCUUUGUGGGUGUAUCAUACUAUCAUAGCCUUGUUUUUACUUUUCUUAUUUACCUCAUUAUUCCUUUUAAAUAAAAGAAGUAAAGUUUGUUUAGAGCUUGUAAACCCCUAGUUUCUCUUUCAAUAAAAGCUAAUUGCUGGCGAAUAACAAUUUAUUGUAAUUUGUGAAGGAUAAAGUUGUCAAAUUUUGUACCCAUAAUAUUUUAAGUGCUUAAAGGAAAAUUUAAUUUUGAAGGU
rnacentral:lncRNA from 1 species